GGCCUGGUAGUUCAGUUGGUUAGAACGCUNNGCUAGCCUGUCACGCUAGAGGUCGUGGGUUCGAGUCCCAUCCAGGUCGCCA
rnacentral:tRNA from 1 species